UCUGCAUCUUCAACUUCCUGUGUCACACACAACAGGAAUGGCACAGGUCAAAAAAAAUCACAUAAGCUACUGCCAGAGCCGGUGCCAGACCCAGCAGACUUGCCCUGCACUAUGGAGUCUUCUACUAUGAGGAUGCAGAUCAACAAAGUGGACUACAGAUGGGAUUUCUGUAAAUAUACUCACUGGGGCUGGAGUCUUAGGUUUCCCAUCAUCAUCCUCAUCAAACCCUUCAAUAUCUACGUCAGAGUCUUCCUCGCCCAGCCUACCUCGUCCCUGGCGCAUCUGAAUGAGGAACACAAAUAGCAACACCAUUGAGGGAGGCACUAGUGUCAGAAGAAAGAGUCUGACUGACAUCCAGACCACAAUAGAAGUAUACCCUGGGAACAGGGACUCUUUUUCCUAAGAACUUCAAGACCUAACCAAAUCUGUUUCCUGGAUGCUUCUGCUACACUCUUCUCUAAGGAGGUCACAAGAAAGCGAGGCAGGCAUUCCUCUCUACUUCCUAGCUAUUACAGGAUGGGCAAUUUGUCCUAGGAGAACUUGUGGUUGGGCCUCGUUUCCUCAAAGUCAGUAGGCUGGUUCAGCAGCUUACAGCCACAGCCACAUGCAUGGGAAAACAUGCACAGAUUCUGUCCCCAGAGGUGCAGAUACUGCUUACUAGGAGGCAUUUUAGAACCCCAGAUACGAGCGAUACUACAUUCUGCACUGAACUUUCUUCCUUGCCUGUUCCAUCAGUUGCUCUGUUGCUAUUCUCACUCUUUCUGCUCUUGUCAUUUGCCCUCUCUUUCUUUCUCCUCAAUGCCCUCUUCCCCCUUCAUACCCAGGUUUUUCCAUUAAAUUUAUCCUCCUCUUCAUCCUCCCUCGCUCCAUCUUUAGCCUCUAAUUGGGGGGGAGGGAACCAACAAAAACAAAAAACCUAGCAAAACUUGCUCCCAGCGUCACCAUAGCUAAUUUGGAAAUGCAUUGUGAUCCUUAAUCCCCACUGCUUCCCCCAUUGUCGUCUUUUAAAUAUAAGAGUGUGGCAACAAAUGUGUCCUCUUGUGCAUUUCAACACAAUAAAAUAAUUAUCAUCUUCCA